rnacentral:rRNA from 1 species
UAGCUGUAAAGCAUGCGGGCCAGGUGUCUGGUGUUCCUCGAGAGCACCAGGUGCCGGAGAGAAGUCGUUAAGCCCGUCGCCUGGGAAGUACGGUCGCAAGGCUGAAACUUAAGGAAAUUGGCGGGGGAGCACCACAAGGGGUGGGACCUGCGGUUC